ACCAAAUAUAGGGAUAUAUAUAAAAAUGGAUCAACUAGUGUGUGAGAAAAGUAAGGACAAUCCCACAUGGAAAAACAGAGGUAGAGCAUGAAUAAAAUGUGAAAUUUAAGAUUCAUUUUUGUUGCUUUCAAGUUAAAUGCUUGUUGCGAUAUACAUAAUGAUGAAACUUACAAAAAUGAUGAAUUAUGAUCAAGUCAAGUAAGAAUAAAAAAAAACUGUAUUACAAAAUAGGGAAAUAAAUACGUAAAAUAUUGGACUUAUUUUUAUCCUGAUUUCAAAUGCAAAGUGCAACCCAUAACUUAUAUGAUAAAAUGAUAACUCACAUAACCACGAAAUAACUAAUGCAUGAGAUUAUGAAACCUAACAAUCAUGAAUUAAGAGAUAUAAUCAACAACUUUUUCAUCUAUUAAAAUAUAACAAAUGAUGUUGUUAUCAUAAUUUUAUUCUAACCAAC
rnacentral:lncRNA from 1 species